GGGCGGUGCCGGAGAUGGGGGCGGAGCGGGAGGAGCCGGGCCCCGCUCGCGGUCCCUGUCCCUGUCCCUGUCCCGGCCCGGGGCAUGAGCGGGGCACGGCCCGAGCGUGCCCGAGCUCCGCUCUGCCCGCUCCUGGGCACGGCGCCAUGGAGAGGGCCCGGCACCGCCUGAGGCAGUUCGAUAUCGGGGACAGGUUCUCCGGCCUGCCGCUGCCCAGAGCCGCCGUGCUGCUGCCGCUGAUGGUGCGAGCGGGGCGGCUGCACCUGCUGCUCACCGUCCGCUCGCUGCAGCUGAGAAGAUCACCAGGGGAAGUGUGUUUUCCAGGAGGUAAAAGGGAAGACACUGAUAGAGAUGACAUUGACACUGCUCUCCGAGAAGCUAAAGAAGAAGUGGGUCUUCAGCCAGAGAAGGUGGAAGUCAUCUGUAGGCUGAUGCCUGGAAUUGAUAAAAUGAAUAACUUGGUGACACCAGUUGUAGGAUUUAUAGAGGAAACAUUCCAGGUCACUCCUAACCCAGAUGAAGUGAGCGAGGUUUUUGUUGUGCCUUUGGAGUACUUUGUCAAGCCCUUAGAUUACAAGACCUUCUCUUAUAAAACCUCCUCAGGGUACUCAACUCGAGUACACUGCUUUACAUACCAUGACCAGGAACACAGAAAGUCAUUCAAGAUAUGGGGACUGACUGCACACUUUGCUGUAUUUCUUGCUCUUGUAAUUUUUGGAGAGAGACCUACCUUUGAAGUGGAUUAUGAUCUUGACAACUUAUUUUCAUCCUCUGAGAAUUACUUCACUAAUUUGUAUGCAUCUAUACAUGAAAGAAAGAAGAGUAAUCUGUGAGAACUUGGUCUGGCCAUGAAUUUAUUUUGAAAGAGGAAAAAGGAGGAGUCUUCUCCAGGACAGAAAAGUGGAGGUGAGGAUUCAUGAGGACAACCCACCAAAUAAACAACAACAGAGAGGGAUUCAGAACCUACAAAACAGCCCCUGAAGAAUCGUCGGAGACCAACACUGCACAGCAAGAGCAUCUGAACAGUUAAGGACUGAAUUCUCCACGCCAAACACACUGAAACCUGAAGACAAGAUAAAGCAGUAUAAAUUUGAGUCAAUAAGUUGUUAGGAAAAUUAAUCCACAAACAUCAGAGGUUUAUGUCCAAAAAGGAGACAGAGGAGUCCUUUUUCUUUAUUUGAAUAAAGGGAAAGGCCAUGGGGCAUUCCCCUGGGAUCUCUCCAAUUUUUGGAGGACACAGCCUCCUUUUUAUCCCAAUUUCCAGCCACAUUUCCCUUCUUUUUCCCCCCUUGGCUGAGGUACUUGAGAGGUUCAGACUUCCUGGUAUGCCUGAUACCAAAGAUUUCCCUCUAAGGUAUAACCCUCCCUUUUAAUUU